AUUGAACGCUGGCGGAAUGCUUUACACAUGCAAGUCGAACGGUAGAGGGGGCAACCCCUCGAGAGUGGCGAACGGGUGAGUAAUAUAUCGGAACGUGCCCAGUCGUGGGGGAUAACGUAGCGAAAGUUACGCUAAUACCGCAUACGAUCUAAGGAUGAAAGCGGGGGAUCGCAAGACCUCGCGCGAUUGGAGCGGCCGAUAUCAGAUUAGGUAGUUGGGGGGGUAAAGGCUCACCAAGCCAACGAUCUGUAGCUGGUCUGAGAGGACGACCAGCCACACUGGAACUGAGACACGGUCCAGACUCCUACGGGAGGCAGCAGUGGGGAAUUUUGGACAAUGGCCGCAAGUCUGAUCCAGCCAUUCCGCGUGCAGGAUGAAGGCCCUCGGGUUGUAAACUGCUUUUGUACGGAACGAAAAGGUCUCUCUUAAUACGGGGGGCUCAUGACGGUACCGUAAGAAUAAGCACCGGCUAACUACGUGCCAGCAGCCGCAGUAA
rnacentral:rRNA from 1 species